UACAUAUGGGGCAAGCGUUGUUCGGAAUUACUGGGCAUAAAGGGUGCGUAGGUGGUCUGUUAAGUCAGGGGUGAAAUCCCGCGGCCCAACCGUGGAACUGCCUUUGAUACUGGCGAGCUUGAGUUCGGGAGAGGUGAGUGGAACUGCGAGUGUAGAGGUGAAAUUCGUAGAUAUUCGCAAGAACACCAGUGGCGAAGGCGGCUCACUGGCCCGAUACUGACGCUGAGGUGCGAAAGCGUGGGGAGCAAACAGG
rnacentral:rRNA from 1 species